rnacentral:rRNA from 1 species
UGGGGAAUCUUCCGCAAUGGACGAAAGUCUGACGGAGCAACGCCGCGUGAGUGAUGACGGCCUUCGGGGUGUAAAGCUCUGUUAAUCGGGACGAAUGGUUCUUGUGCAAAUAGUGCGAGGAUUUGACGGUACCGGAAUAGAAAGCCACGGCUAACUACGUGCCAGCAGCCGUGGUAAUACGUAGGUGGCAAGCGUUGUCCGGAAUUAGUGUGCGUAAAGCGCGCGCAGGCGGAUUGGUCAGUCUAUCUUGAAAAUUCGGGGCUUACCCACGUGAUGGGAUGGAGACUGCCAAUCUAGAGUAUCGGAGAGGAAAGUGUAAUUCCUAGUGUAUCGGUGAAAUGCGUAGAUAUUAGGAAGAACACCAGGGGCGAAGGCGACGUUCUGGACGAAAACUGACGCUGAGGCGCGAAAGCCAGGGGAGCGAACGGG